rnacentral:rRNA from 1 species
CACACCGCCCGUCACACCAUGGGAGUUUGUUGCACCAGAAGCAGGUAGCUUAACCUUCGGGAGGGUGCUUGCCACGGUGUGGCCGAUGACUGGGGUG